ACUCCUACGGGAGGCAGCAGUGGGGAAUAUUGCACAAUGGGGGAAACCCUGAUGCAGCCAUGCCGCGUGUGUGAAGAAGGCCUUCGGGUUGUAAAGCACUUUCAGUAGGGAGGAAGGUAGUGUAGUUAACACCUGCAUUAUUUGUACGUUACCUACAGAAGAAGCACCGGCUAACUCCGUGCCAGCAGCCGCGGUAAUACGGAGGGUGCGAGCGUUAAUCGGAAUUACGUGGGCGUAAAGCGCAUGCAGGCGGCCUGUUAAGUCAGAUGUGAAAGCCCGGGGCUUAACCUCGGAAUUGCAUUUGAAACUGGCAGGCUAGAGUCUUGUAGAGGGGGUUAGAAUUUCUAGGUGUAGCGGUGAAAUGCGUAGAGAUC
rnacentral:rRNA from 1 species